AUGUGCAGGUGGAACGUGAAGGAAGAAGAAUCAGAACUUUUAGGAGAGUGUUCCCCCCAGAGUCCUUUACGUUCAGUGUCUCCAAGUCUGAGCAGCAAAAUAGGUCAACUUCUGAAAGAAGCUCCAGCAGCUCAGGGGAGCAGCAGUAGCCCUCCUGCUGAUGCACAGCCUGUGGAUCAUCAAAGGGAAAUAAAGAAGCUCCUGCAAGACCUGGGCAAGAAAGACACCAUGCAGAGUUACAAGAGAUGGCUCCCACUCUCCUUGCACUGCCAUGACGAGAACCAGUGCGUGGUUGAUGUGAGGACUCGGCAGCUGCCGUGGCUCCCUGGCAGGGCGCUCGGCUGCCUCCUGCUCUGCUGCCUCGCAGGCUGCAGCUCCCUCCCGGUCUUGGUCCAGGGACGUGGGUCCUGUGCCCUGGGCUGUGGUGCCAUCUCUGGGUCUCUGCUGCUCUCCAGGCCUCCCGGGAAACGCUGCUCUGUUCCGCCCGAUUCCUGAAGAGGAAGGAUCUCCAGCAGAUGCUGCGGGUGGAUCAGACCUGGAGGUUCGGCGAGGGCCUGGUAAGGGCGGGCUGGAAGCCCCAGCCCCAGGCUGGAGAAGCUCAGUGUGUGCGGCUGGCAGCUGUGCCCUGCCCAGUGCCGCACCCAGGGCCGCCAGCCUGUGCCCCACACGCUGCUCCCUUCCCUGGGCCCCGCGGGCUCUACUCCAGCCCCCUGUGGCCCCGAGCCGUGUACCCAUGGAGCCCCGGCACCGCUGGUCUGUCGGGCAGGCCAGCAGCGCGGCUCCCCGGGCAGCAGCCGGCCCUCUGCCCCUUCCAGAGCCCGGCGCCAGCGGCUGCUGCCCGGUGCCUCAGGGCUGGGCGGGCACGGGAGGCCGGGGCUGGCCGCAGGCAGCAGUGCCCGGCCGAGGGGCAGAGCCCGCACCAACCCUUCCCUCCCGCCGCUCUCUGCAGCUGGCACAGGACAGGAGCCGAGCGGCUGAGCACCUGCACCGGGCCCUGAUGUACCUGGACAGCCCACAGGAGUCCCUGCGAGCGGCGGCCAUCAGGUUCAUUGGUGAGCCACGAA
rnacentral:lncRNA from 1 species